rnacentral:tRNA from 1 species
GCCCUGGUGGCUCAGAUGGUAAAGAAUCUGCUUGCAAUGCAGGAGACCCAGGUUCGAUCCCUGGAUGGGGAA